rnacentral:rRNA from 1 species
CCGAAUUUGUCCACACAGAGUUUGAUCCUGGCUCAGAACGAACGCUGGCGGCAGGCCUAACACAUGCAAGUCGAGCGGAUGAUGGGAGCUUGCUCCCGGAUUCAGCGGCGGACGGGUGAGUAAUGCCUAGGAAUCUGCCUGGUAGUGGGGGACAACGUUUCGAAAGGAACGCUAAUACCGCAUACGUCCUACGGGAGAAAGCAGGGGACCUUCGGGCCUUGCGCUAUCAGAUGAGCCUAGGUCGGAUUAGCUAGUUGGUGGGGUAAAGGCCUACCAAGGCGACGAUCCGUAACUGGUCUGAGAGGAUGAUCAGUCACACUGGAACUGAGACACGGUCCAGACUCCUACGGGAGGCAGCAGUGGGGAAUAUUGGACAAUGGGCGAAAGCCUGAUCCAGCCAUGCCGCGUGUGUGAAGAAGGUCUUCGGAUUGUAAAGCACUUUAAGUUGGGAGGAAGGGCAGUAAGUUAAUACCUUGCUGUUUUGACGUUACCAACAGAAUAAGCACCGGCUAACUUCGUGCCAGCAGCCGCGGUAAUACGAAGGGUGCAAGCGUUAAUCGGAAUUACUGGGCGUAAAGCGCGCGUANGUGGUUUGGUAAGAUGGAUGUGAAAUCCCCGGGCUCAACCUGGGAACUGCAUCCAUAACUGCCUGACUAGAGUACGGUAGAGGGUGGUGGAAUUUCCUGUGUAGCGGUGAAAUGCGUAAAUAU